rnacentral:rRNA from 1 species
GACGAACGCUGGCGGCGUGCUUAACACAUGCACGUCGAACGGAGUGGCGAACGGGUGAGUAACACGUGGGUGACCUGCCCUGCACUUCGGGAUAAGCCUGGGAAACUGGGUCUAAUACCGGAUAGUGUGGGAUGGGCCCGGGGCCUAUCAGCUUGUUGGUGGGGUAAGGGCCUACCAAGGCGGCGACGGGUAGCCGGCCUGAGAGGGUGGACGGCCAAAUUGGGACGGAGACACGGACCAGACGCAUACGGGAGGAAGCAGUGGGGGAUAUUGCACAAUGGGCGAAAGCCUGAUGCAGCGACGCCGCGGGGGGGAUGAAGGCGUGCGGGUUGUAAACCUCUUUCGCUAUCGAAAGGGUAGGUGGAGAAGAAGCGCCGGCUAACUACGUGCCAGCAGCCGCGGUAAUUC